rfam:Gorilla gorilla gorilla genomic chromosome, chr8, whole genome shotgun sequence
UACGACAUGGUGUAAUAAGUAGCACAGAGAAUUUUGGGUUCUCAGGGGUAGGUUCAAUUCCCAUAGUUCUAG